rnacentral:rRNA from 1 species
AGAGCGAACGCUGGCGGCAGGCUUAACACAUGCAAGUCGAGCGGGCGUAGCAAUACGUCAGCGGCAGACGGGUGAGUAACGCGUGGGAACGUACCUUUUGGUUCGGAACAACACAGGGAAACUUGUGCUAAUACCGGAUAAGCCCUUACGGGGAAAGAUUUAUCGCCGAAAGAUUCGGCCCGCGUCUGAUUAGCUAGUUGGUGAGGUAACGGCUCACCAAGGCGACGAUCAGUAGCUGGUCUGAGAGGAUGAUCAGCCACAUUGGGACUGAGACACGGCCCAAACUCCUACGGGAGGCAGCAGUGGGGAAUAUUGGACAAUGGGCGCAAGCCUGAUCCAGCCAUGCCGCGUGAGUGAUGAAGGCCCUAGGGUUGUAAAGCUCUUUGUGCGGGAAGAUAAUGACGGUACCGCAAGAAUAAGCCCCGGCUAACUUCGUGCCAGCAGCCGC